UGGCAAAAGUUGGUAUGGCACCAGCUUUCCGCCGCAGCUCAGGCAGAGCUACCAGGGAAGUCACAGGUUAUUUCUGAGACCGAAAAUCCCCGUGACUUCACCUAUUCCUCCCGCCAUACUGUGUUGCAGGUAAUA